GACCUCACUUUCAGCAGGUGAAGGGGGAGCAGGAGCAUGUAGGAAACCUAAUAAUAAUCUCCUCUGUGCCAGUCACUUCACAGGCACCUCUGUAUUCACUUCUCUCAACAACCCUCUGACACAGGUCUUAAUGUCCAAAUUUGACCUAUUAGAAAGUGAUGUUUAGUGACUUGCUAUGUGGUCAUUAAUAUAAAAAUAAUGGGGGAAUCAGGAUUCAACACUACAACUGAGUGACCCCAUGGCAGCAGUGGGACAGGGCCUUGUCCAUCAAUUGGCACUCUAAACACAUGUUCCCAUAAACUGAGCACACAGGUUAGGAGCUACUGAAUUCCACUGCCCAUGCAGUGUGUUGCACAGCUUGUGGGGCCUCUUCAGGAAGCAGCUUACAGUAAUGGUUUAUAUUUUUAACUAUUUUUUUUGAAAAAUUUUUUUGGCUCUUUCCCAUAUGAAAUACAUUUAUUUACCUGUGAUCCCUAGACAGCUUUUUUUUUUUUAAUUAAAGGUUUAAUGAACAUUGCUGGCAUCUGUCUAAAUGGAAAAUAAAUCUCUCCUAAUAAAAUUGUGCUAA
rnacentral:lncRNA from 1 species